UCAUGUUUCAGGUGAAAUGGGAGGUAGACUAUCUGUUAAAAGAAUUUCAAAGCUAACCUUUGUUUAGUCUGCUUGGAGACACUGUUUUCCAUGAAGGAUUUUAAUACAACAUGUUGCACAAAGCUAAAUAUGAGAAGUUUACUGAAGUCAAAACAAACAACAGCAACUCUUUACCAGAACCAUGAAGGAGUCCACACUCAAGGCUUCUUAUUCUAUUGAACUUCAGCUUCCUAAAAAACUUGUCUGAGUCAGAGGUCAGAGGUGAAACGGUGUAAGUGAGCAUGAUGAUCGGAAGCUGUCCUGACAGAUGUGAUGACGCGGCGUCCUCGGGCCUCGGCGGUUCUUACAUGUGGACGGAUUGGAGGACUGGAUGUUUAUCAGAUUACAGAGGAUGAAGGACGUUCAUGAACGGUACAGAGUCUUCUGUGACAAGCUUAUAACAGCACUAAAUGCUCACAUUUAAACUGUUUACUGUUCAAUAAAUGAUGUUUUAUCAGAUUAA